CCGGACCCGACCGCUAUCGGGGUGGGGCUAAGCCAUGGGAGUCGUACGCUCCCGGGCAAGGGAGCGUGGCGGACGGCUGAGUAACACGUGGCUAACCUACCCUGAGGAGGGAGAUAACCCCGGGAAACUGGGGAUAAUCUCCCAUAGGCGAGGAGUCCUGGAACGGUUCCUCGCUGAAAGGCUCAUGGGCUAUUCCCCGCUCAUGAGCGCCUCAGGAUGGGGCUGCGGCCCAUCAGGUAGUUGGGGGGGUAAGGGCCCCCCAAGCCUAUAACGGGUAGGGGCCGUGAGAGCGGGAGCCCCCAGUUGGGCACUGAGACAAGGGCCCAGGCCCUACGGGGCGCACCAGGCGCGAAACGUCCCCAAUGCGCGGAAGCGUGAGGGCGCCACCCCGAGUGCUCCCGUAAGGGAGCUUUUCCCCGCUCUACAAAGGCGGGGGAAUAAGCGGGGGGCAAGUCUGGUGUCAGCCGC
rnacentral:rRNA from 1 species